rnacentral:rRNA from 1 species
UUUUGGACAAUGGGCGCAAGCCUGAUCCAGCCAUGCCGCGUGAGUGAAGAAGGCCUUCGGGUUGUAAGGCUCUUUCGCCCCCCCCCCAAAUCGCAUUCUCUAAUACAGGAUGUGGAUGACGGUACCCGAAUAAGAAGCACCGGCUAACUACGUGCCAGCAGCCGCGGUAAUACGUAGGGUGCGAGCGUUAAUCGGAAUUACUGGGCGUAAAGCGUGCGCAGGCGGUUUUGUAAGUCAGAUGUGAAAUCCCCGGGCUCACCCCGCCCCCCCCCACUUGAGACUGCAAGGCUAGAGUGUGGCAGAGGGGGGUAGAAUUCCACGUGUAGCAGUGAAAUGCGUAGAGAUGUGGAGGAAUACCGAUGGCGAAGGCAGCCCCCUGGGCCAAUACUGACGCUCAUGCACGAAA